AGGGUGGUAGUUCAAUUGGUAGAAUAGUGGUCUCCAAAACCAUCGGUUAAGGGUUCAAAUCCCUUCCUCCCUG
rnacentral:tRNA from 1 species